UUCUGGUUUGUGGCUUGAGGCCUCACAUCCUCCCAUCAGACACAGAUUCUGAGCUCAGAACCAUAGAACAUCUACUUGCUCUUAAGUAUGAGGUUCGUGAGUGGAAUUCUCAUUCUCCUAACUUUGGGUAUUGUGGGUGAUGCUAAAACUACACAGCCAGAUUCAAUGGAAAGUAUUGAAGAUGAAACUGUACACUUGCCUUGUAGCCACUCUACGAUCAGUGGGAGCGAGUACAUUCACUGGUACCGACAGGUUCCUCUUCGUGGUCCAGAAUAUGUGAUUCAUGGUCUACAACAAAACACAAGCAAUGGAAUGGCCUUUCUGGCUAUUCCCUCUGACAGAAAGUCAAGUACCUUGAUCCUGCCUCGGGUCAGCCUGAGCGAUGCUGCUGUGUAUCACUGUAUCCUGAGAGAAGCACACUGUGACAGACAGGGCUGCACCUGUGCAAUAUCUGCCUGGUGGGGGAGGGGAGCAGUGGUGUCUUCUAAAGAGGUCUCUGUGAUGGAAUGAGAAGAAGCGCUACAGGGAAAGGGAAGACUGAGGAACCCAGCAGGGCUGGGAAAGGAAUGCUGAGCCUGGGCAAGAACAACUGACAGCAGACAGACAGACAUGCCUGCAGGGCAGCUGACAGCAGACAGACAGACAUGCCUGCAGGGCAGCUGACAGCACAACUUCCAGUUCUGCAGAGAGAAGCGAAUGAGAACUUCUGACUCCUCUUCAUUUGAAAAAAAAAGAAGUUUAUUUCUGUGUAGACUUGAGUAAAAUCUGAUGAGAAAAAUCUGCUAUGGGACAAUAGUCUGUACCCUUUCUCUUGUAU